AGUGGAGAAUCUUGCACAAUGGGGGAAACCCUGAUGCAGCAACGCCGCGUGAAGGAAGAAGGCCCUUGGGUCGUAAACUUCUUUUCUAAGGGAAGAUAAUGACGGUACCUUAGGAACAAGUCCCGGCUAACUACGUGCCAGCAGCCGCGGUAAUACGUAGGGGGCGAGCGUUAUCCGGAAUUAUUGGGCGUAAAGAGUACGUAGGUGGUUUCCUAAGCAUGGGGUUUAAGGCAAUGGCUCAACUGUUGUUCGCCCUAUGAACUGGGUUACUUGAGUGCUGGAGGGGAAAGCGGAAUUCCUAGUGUAGCGGUGAAAUGCGUAGAUAUUAGGAGGAACACCAGUGGCGAAGGCGGCUUUCUGGCCAGUAACUGACACUGAGGUACGAAAGUGUGGGGAGCAAACAGGAUUAGAUACCCUGGUAGUCCACACCGUAAACGAUGAGCACUAGGUGUCGGGUUCGCAAGAGCUCGGUGCCGCAGUUAACGCAUUAAGUGCUCCGCCUGGGGAGUACGUACGCAAGUAUGAAACUCAAAGGAAU
rnacentral:rRNA from 1 species